rnacentral:rRNA from 1 species
GCUUAACGCGAAGAACCUUACCAGGUCUUGACAUCCUCUGCCAACCCUAGAGAUAGGGCGUUCCCCUUCGGGGGACAGAGUGACAGGUGGUGCAUGGUUGUCGUCAGCUCGUGUCGUGAGAUGUUGGGUUAAGUCCCGCAACGAGCGCAACCCUUGAUCUUAGUUGCCAGCAUUCAGUUGGGCACUCUAAGGUGACUGCCGGUGACAAACCGGAGGAAGGUGGGGAUGACGUCAAAUCAUCAUGCCCCUUAUGACCUGGGCUGCACACGUGCUACAAUGGAUGGUACAAAGAGCUGCGAACCCGCGAGGGUAAGCGAAUCUCAUAAAGCCAUUCUCAGUUCGGAUUGUAGGCUGCAGCUCGCCUACAUGAAGCCGGAAUCGCUAGUAAUCGCGAAUCAGAAUGUCGCGGUGAAUACGUUCCCGGGUCUUGUACACACCG